UACGGGGGGGGCAAGCGUUGUUCGGAAUUACUGGGCGUAAAGGGCGCGUAGGCGGCCUGCUAAGUCACACGUGAAAUCCCUCGGCUCAACCGGGGAACUGCGUGUGAUACUGGCGGGCUUGAAUUCGGGAGAGGGAUGUGGAAUUCCAGGUGUAGCGGUGAAAUGCGUAGAUAUCUGGAGGAACACCGGUGGCGAAGGCGGCAUCCUGGACCGAGAUUGACGCUGAGGCGCGAAAGCUAGGGGAGCAAACGGG
rnacentral:rRNA from 1 species